UUCACUUGAACAUACAAUACCUAAAAUAAG
rnacentral:piRNA from 1 species